GACCUUUAGUUUGAAACCCCGAAACCAGGUGAGCUACCCCGAGACAGCCUAUUAGGGCCAACCCGUCUCUGUGGCAAAAGAGUGGGAAGAGCUCCGGGUAGAAGUGACAGACCUACCGAACCUGGUGAUAGCUGGUUGCCUAAGAAAUGGAUAGAAGUUCAGCCUCGUACUCCCCAAAUCAAGUUAACAUCAACAAGACACCAAGAGAAAUACACGAGAGUUAGUUAAAGGGGGUACAGCCCCUUUGACAAAGGAUACAACCUUUUCAGGAGGAUAAAGAUCAUAAUACAUAAAACAUACUGUUCUAGUGGGCCUAAAAGCAGCCAUCUAAACAGAAAGCGUUAAAGCUCAGACAGAAGAAAGUUUAUUAUUCUGAUAACACAUCUUAUUCCCCUAAACACUAUUAGGCCAACCCAUGCCCACAUGGAAGAGAUUAUGCUAAAAUGAGUAACAAGAAGGCCCGCCCUUCUCCAAGCACAAGUGUAAGCCAAACCGGACUAACCAUUGGCAACUAACGAACUCAACCCAAGAGAGUACUGUGAAUUUCAAAAAAACCAAGAAAAACCCACAACUUAACCAUCGUUACCCCCACACUGGAGUGCAAUAAAGGAAAGACUAAAAGAAAAGGAAGGAACUCGGCAAACACAAGCCUCGCCUGUUUACCAAAAACAUCGCCUCCUGCAACAUAACCAAGUAUAGGAGGUCCAGCCUGCCCAGUGACUACNAGUUCAACGGCCGCGGUAUUUUGACCGUGCAAAGGUAGCGCAAUCACUUGUCUUUUAAAUAGAGACCUGUAUGAAUGGCCAAACGAGGGCUUAACUGUCUCCCCUUUCCAGUCAGUGAAAUUGAUCUACCCGUGCAGAAGCGGGUAUAAUAAUACAAGACGAGAAGACCCUUUGGAGCUUAAGGUACAAAACUCAACCACGUUAAGCAACUCAAUAAAAAGCAAAAACUUUGUGGAACAUGAGAUUUUACCUUCGGUUGGGGCGACCACGGAGGAAAAAAGAGCCUCCAGGUGGACCGGGAAAACUUCCUAAAACCAAGAGAUACAUCUCUAAGCCACAGAACAUCUGACCAAACAUGAUCCGGCUAAUACAAGCCGAUCAACGAACCAAGUUACCCUAGGGAUAACAGCGCAAUCCUCUCCCAGAGUCCAUAUCGACGAGGGGGUUUACGACCUCGAUGUUGGAUCAGGACAUCCUAAUGGUGCAGCCG
rnacentral:rRNA from 1 species